CACUGUACUUCAUUCCAUUCCCCUUUUGCCCUCCCCAAGAGUCAGACAGCAUUUUGUACUCAGUGAGCAUGCUUGGUCCUCUUUGGCCAUUUCAGAGGUUCCUCCCUUUACCUCCAUAUAAUUUUUUAAAAGUUCUUUGUACUUGUAGAAACAUGGUUCCCGCCUGCUGAUACCACCCCCUUGUGUUCAGGUGUUGCCAUUUUCAUAAGAAUGGCGCUUGUAACAUUUGAUUGCUAAUACAGUGGUACCCCGGGUUAUGAACUUACCGUAAUUCAUUCCGGAGGUCCUUAACUGGAAACAGUUCUUAACCUGAGGUACCACUUUAGCUAAUGGGGCCUCCUGCUGCCGCCACACAAUUUCUGUUCUCAUCCUGGGGCAAAGUUCUUAACUAGCGGAGUUUGUAACCCAAGGUGUUUGUAACCCAAGGUACCACUGUAUAUAACACUUGGGGUGUCCCCCAGCUUCCUCUGCUCGCCAAGCUGCCCGCCAUUCUCCCUCACAUUACUCCCUAGAGCUUCCCCUUGCCACCUCAUGCAACUACCUCAUGCAACUCUUUCCUGACCCAAUUCUGAAGCCACUUCUUGCUUCUAUUCUGCAGCCCCACUCUCCACCUGUGUUCCCAUGUCUAUACCUCCUUCCCUCUCCCUUAGAGCAGUUACUUUGCACACAAACCACCAAGUGUCAUCCCAUAUGUUCUACUGCAUUUUAUUGUCACUUUCCUUAUGGCAAAAGUGUGAUCUUUCAGAGAAGUGUGUUGUGUAAGAGCUCCAAAUCCGCUUUAAUUGUACAACCUGAAUUUGAUAGUUGUUUUAAAUUGUUCUAAGUGCACUGCUCAGAGAUUCUUUGAUUAAAGAGUUUAUAACUACUUCUCAGGAAGGAAGUAAAACUUUCUACAAUCUUUUGUAUUUUUUUGAGCUCUGAUAGCUAUAUGAUUCUUAACACGUUUAUGUUUCUGCCAGCUAAUCCAAUAUAGCACAGUCAGGAGGCACCCAGAAUAUCAAUCUUAUGCAUGCCUACAAUAAGUUCCAAUGAGUUCACUUGGACCUGUUCCCAGUUCCACAGAAUAACCAAAGUGGCUAUACUGUAUAGAGAAGCACCAGAGCAAGAGCAGGCCAACUACAGCACCUGCAGCAAGGAAGAAAACUGCAGAGGGCAACUCAAAGAAAAACAGUACAGCGUAUCGCACGCUUAGCAAAAUAGUAGCUGCAGAUGAGCAUCAAGAUCAAUCUUGGGCAAUUACAGAAAAGAGGCAUACAGCAAAAUGGACAUGUUUGUUCUCCCCUUCUUCUCUACUCUUUGCUGCACCUUUCAACAUCUGCUAGAAAAAUGGAAGCAGAAACAGCAGUUGCAGCACAAGCUAUAGAAAAAGGACAGCUUCCCCUUCGUCAUUUUCAUUUCUUCAGGCAGAAGAAAAGUUAAGACAUACGGUGCACGUUUUAAACUUACACAUCCAAGCUACUGAGGAUGCACUCUACACAACGUCCAGAACAAAUGCUGGGUCCCAACAAACUAUCAAUAACAGGACAAAAUGGCUACUGGAAAGUUAGAAAACUAGGAAUCCUACUUAUAAAUACAGUUGCACUCUGACUUCCUAUCUAGAAGAAUGUUUUCCCCUUUAGACAAAGCAUGCAGAAAUCAAUUUUCUACAAGAGACAUAAUACAGUAACACAGGAUACAAAAUGUACUGCUACAGGGAAGCCUGAAUCAAAAAUAAAAUGGAGGUUACCCAGAAGCAUAUAAAGAUUACCAUUUCUGAAAGAACUGCUUCUGCUGAAAAUAUUUCAUCCAUAAUAAAUGGUUGUUCCAAAGACCAAAGGGA